UAAUGAUCUGAUGUUGUUAGACCUCUGU
rnacentral:sRNA from 1 species